rnacentral:rRNA from 1 species
GACGAACGCUGGCGGCGUGCUUAACACAUGCAAGUCGAACGGAAAGGCCUGCUUUCCCUUGUGGAUUGCGGGUACUCGAGUGGCGAACGGGCGAGUAACACGUGAGUGAUCUGCCCCCAACUUGGGUAUAAGCCUGGGAAACUGGGUCUAAUUCCCGAUAGGACUGCAGGGUGGUGCCUGUGGUGGAAAACGAUUUUCUAGUGGUUGGGGAUGAGCUCGCGGCCUAUCAGCUUGUUGGUGGGGUAAUGGCCUACCAAGGCGGCGACGGGUAGCCGGCCUGAGAGGGUGGACGGCCACAUUGGGACUGAGAUACGGCCCAGACUCCUACGGGAGGCAGCAGUGGGGAAUAUUGCACAAUGGGCGGAAGCCUGAUACAGCGACGCCGCGUGGGGGAUGACGGCCUUCGGGUUGUAAACUCCUUUCGACCGCGAGGAAGCCACCUGGUUGGAAGGGUGGUGACGGUAGUGGUAGAAGAAGCACCGGCUAACUACGUG